rnacentral:rRNA from 1 species
AGUGAACGCUGGCGGUAGGCCUAACACAUGCAAGUCGAACGGCAGCACAGUAAGAGCUUGCUCUUACGGGUGGCGAGUGGCGGACGGGUGAGGAAUACAUCGGAAUCUACUUUUUCGUGGGGGAUAACGUAGGGAAACUUACGCUAAUACCGCAUACGACCUACGGGUGAAAGCAGGGGAUCUUCGGACCUUGCGCGAUUGAAUGAGCCGAUGUCGGAUUAGCUAGUUGGCUGGGUAAAGGCCCACCAAGGCGACGAUCCGUAGCUGGUCUGAGAGGAUGAUCAGCCACACUGGAACUGAGACACGGUCCAGACUCCUACGGGAGGCAGCAGUGGGGAAUAUUGGACAAAGGGCGCAAGCCUGAUCCAGCCAUACCGCGUGGGUGAAGAAGGCCUUCGGGUUGUAAAGCCCUUUUGUUGGGAAAGAAAAGCAGCAGGUUAAUACCCCGCUGUCCUGACGGUACCCAAAGAAUAAGCACCGGCUAACUUCGUG